AACUAAAUAUUUGAUUUAGGUGCUUUAGAAGGAAAAAUUCUAAAGUGAAAAGGGAAUGUGGUUAAAAUCCACAGCAGCCCCCGCUACUGUAAAUGAGGACGAACCUUGUAUACCACUCAUAUGAGGAAGGUAAGGUGUAGAAAGAUUCAUGAGCCAGGAGACCUGCCUAAAUUUAUAAAACAAG
rnacentral:ncRNA from 2 species